rnacentral:rRNA from 1 species
AUUGAACGCUGGCGGCAGGCUUAACACAUGCAAGUCGAACGGGUGGCGGACGGGUGAGUAAUGCUUGGGAAUCUUGCUUAUGGAGGGGGAUAACUACGGGAAACUGUAGCUAAUACCGCGUACCAUAGGAUGAGCCCAAGUGGGAUUAGGUAGUUGUGGGGGUAAAGGCUCACAAAGCCCACGAUCUCUAGCUGGUCUGAGAGGAUGACCAGCCACACUGGGACUGAGACACGGCCCAGACUCCUACGGGAGGCAGCAGUGGGGAAUAUUGCACAAUGGGCGCAAGCCUGAUGCAGCCAUGCCGCGUGUAUGAAGAAGGCCUUCGGGUUGUAAAGUACUUUCAGUCGGGAGGCGUUACCGACAGAAGAAGCACCGGCUAACUCCGUGCCAGCAGCCGCGGUAAUUC